rnacentral:misc_RNA from 1 species
GUAUAGUUUAAUGGUAAAACAGAAAGCUUCAACCUUUAAAUUCUUAGUUCGAGUCUAAGUACUCUUGCCGCCCUUCGGGGCGGGGGCCCUUGUUUUGCCUAUAUGUCCAUUGCCCGUAUGAGAGAAUGCUACGU